UACGAAGGGGGGCUAGCGUUGCUCGGAUUGACUGGGCGUAAAGGGCGCGUAGGCGGUUCGUACAGUCAGACGUGAAAUUCCUGGGCCCAACCUGGGGGCUGCGUUUGAUACGUGCGGACUUGAGUGCGGAAGAGGGUCGUGGAAUUCCCAGUGUAGAGGUGAAAUUCGUAGAUAUUGGGAAGAACACCGGUGGCGAAGGCGGCGACCUGGUCCGAUACUGACGCUGAGGCGCGAAAGCGUGGGGAGCAAACAGG
rnacentral:rRNA from 1 species